ensembl:lncRNA
GCCGUCCGCCCGCAGGAGGGCAGCAGCACCGCGCGGCUCCUGGGCUGCUGAGAUGGCGGCCGCCUCCCGAGGUGGAGAGAAGGCACGUUUCUGCUCCCAGAGGUGGGAAAUGUCGCUCAGGACGCAAUGCGGCGUUAUAUGAUAAACCACAUAUGAUACACCUGAUGGGAUUCAUCAGACUUGCUUGAGCUUGUCCAAAAAUGAAACAUCUGGUUGAAGAUAUUUUUUCAGCUUAUUCAGGGCUGAAAUGAAUCAUUGUCAAGAGGUACAUGCACCUCCAGCAGGUGAUUCAUCCCUUGCCAGGGUGCUGAGACUCUCUUGAGGAUAGUGUGCUGAUUGACCGCAAAGUCUGUAAAGGCAGGUACAAUAGAGACAAGUAAAUCAACCUCAGGUGUUCUUGGAAACAUUAUUUUGUAGAGGAGGAAAGCACCUCUUUGUUUUCUGCUUUGUAUUUCCAAUCCUGAUCUUCUGCCAGAGAAAGCACUCCUACCAGAAAUGCUGAUUCAUGAUGUUGAGAGAAGAUAGAAAUGACACAACUGAGGGGAAGAGGGAGAAGGAGUUCAGCUACACGUGUUGCUCCCCAGCCUCUAUCUCUGUCUGUUCAGCCUGUUCUCUGCUGCAUUCAGUAUCAGUAGGAUACAAGAGUGGCCAGAUGCUGGCCAAUGAGACUGUCUACAGAAAAGAUAAGUAGAUUAUACAUGAACCUACCAGUAUAUUUAUGACAGCUGUGUUACAUAUAGAUCUUUUGGAGACUAAAUUAUUACUACAGCUCUAGGGAUCAGUCACUCAGAAAAGGGACACUGCUGUUGCAGAAUGCUGUAGCUUUUGUAACAGGCUAUCAUUUGUCCCUUUAUAUUGAAACCCAUUUUUAGCCCACUUUAGAGUAGGAAAGCAGCUGUGGCAUUUGUGUGUUUUUUAUUGGCAGGCAGUUACUUCUUAAUGCUGAUGAGGUUAGAGGUUAAAAGCCAAAUAUCUGUUCAAUUCUAGCCAUCUAUUACAAAGCAGAAUUUAUAUACUGUGAAAUUUGGGUUGGCAGAAAUCAUUAAAAAAAAAAAGAAGAAGAAGAAGAAGAAGGGAAUUAAGCUGUAAAGGUGUGCCAACUCUCUUACAAGAACAGACUUAUCAUUUGUGGAAAAUACACCUACCAGAAGGCAUAGUAAAAAUGGUGGAAAAGUUACUUAAGCUGCCAGUUAUAAAAUAGCUACCUUCUGUCCAGAACUGUCCAUGCCAAAAAAGAUUUACCAGGAAAGAAAUCCCUGGAAAAGAGCACUUCUGUAGAAAGGACCAAAACAUUACAGAAGUUUUUUUUUUUUUUUUCUUUCUAUUUUACUUCUCAUGUACCUCAGUUAUGAAAAAAAAUCUCCAACAACAACAACAAAAAACUCAACAAUUUUUAAUUAAGUACAGAUGAAGAGCAGAGAGAUGUGCACCCUUCAGUAGAAGACUGAAAAGCACCCAGUGUUGAGAAAGUACCACUGAGGGACAUGGAGAUGAAACCAGCAUAGUCCAGAGUCUGUUCCAUGGCUCUCUUCUCCAGAAGUAUGUGUUCACUUGAAAAAGUCUUAAGAGAACAAAAAGCCUUUUGGGAAUUAGGAACAAGUUUACAAUUUCUACUCAUGGCUUCCCAUCUGCAAACACCAUUGUCAUUACUCAUCUAAUUUUCCAUAGAAAGAAGAUUGAUGCAGGGAUCCUAUCUUUCAGGUCAACAUGCUCUCCUAAAUGCUAGUCGGACAAGAACACUGAAAACAAAAUGAUCCAUUUCAUUACUAAUUUCAUCUUAAUUUCUGAAUGUCAUAUAUGCUUUUUUAAAAAUCUUCAGAGUAUUAGUGUUUCUCUGCCAUUGAUAAACUUUAGUUUUACUCAUAAUGAGAUAAGGGUCUCUUUUUUUCAGAUAAGACAACUGAGGCUGAGAAGGAAAUUGAUUAUCUGUUAAUUUUAGUAUCUGUAUGUGACUUUUUGAAGAACUUAGCAUUACUAAGCCCUUUGUGUAUAUAUAUAUAAAUAACCUCACUAAAAAGUUUCUCUAAAGGAUUAUUGAUCCAGGGUUAGGAAAGUGGCUAUGCUGCUUUCAACAUGGCAUUAUACAUUAAUAUUUAAGGUAUCUAUUCCACAGAUUUCCUUGUAAAUCAAUAUUUAAAACAUGUAUACCACCAAAUUCAGUUGCAACAGUGAGUCCUCAGCAUUUCUGCAAAUCUAGCAUCCAAAUUACAAGUCAACCAACUAGAAAACAAGGAGACAACUGGUGAACGCUUGUAAAAAUGAUGAUUUGAGUAACAUACCUAACAUCACAUGGAAGCACUCACGAUUGAUAUAACUCUUACUCUUCUUGAAGUUAUUACAUACCUUUCAGCAGAUGGAGUGAGAAAGUCCAGAAGUUUGUAAAGCUAAUGAUAUAUUGCUCCUUUAUUCAGAGCAGAUCCAUUCUGCACAAUUUAAAGGGAACACACUCCAUGGAAAAAGUUCUGACUAAUUUGAAGCUAGGAUAAAACAUACAGACAAUAAGAGUGAGUGAAUGGAGAUUGCAUGAGUGAACUUAAUUCUAGCAUCCUAUCCCUUGCGUCCUUGAUUCUCCAGCUGUUUUCAAACCUUGGCAGAGAUAAUUACUUCCUUCUUCCUUAAAUACCCAUGUCCAUUGGUCCUCCUGAAAUAUUUAACAAGGAAAGAUUAUGCUGAUAGCCAGCCUUAUCCUCUUACAAGCUUACACAGUAGCAGCAACACCCUCUAAUUAUGCCUUUAAGUCUCAGUGCCACACCAGUGAAACUCACUUGGCAGUGUGUAUACUGCUAGGUCCUGGAUUAUGGGUGGAGGCCAUCUUGACUGUCACAGUAAUUGUUGCUAUCUGCUCUUACUGUCCUUUCAUUCUGCAUGUCAACUAGUUGGGAAAGACUAGAUACCAAAAGCUCACUUUACUUACAUCCUGUGUGGGAUAUUUAAUGAUGUUGGAAGUUAUGCCCUUCUGAGGAUAGGAAGCAUCAUGAUAGCAGUAAUCUUUCAUGCUGCAGAAGAUUUUCUUGUGAGAUUGCUUCACCAGCAUUCAAACAAGGUAUAUCACAAGCUAGUUCACCCUGAAUAUUAAUAUCGAAAGAAAAUAGAGAGGAAAAAGCCUAGGAUACACCAAAAAAAAAGAACAGAGAAAACCUUCACAAAACAUGAAGAAUAACAGAAUAGGAUGCACAUAAUGCAUUUGGGAGAUUUCAAUCUCAGACUGCAUAGCAUCAAAAGAAAUGUGCCUCUUUUAAAAUAAAUGCAACAUAUUAGAAGGAGAGAGAUGAAUACUAGAAUUUAAGCACAGUUAAAAGACGUUUAUUACAGACAGUUAUCUAAUCUGGAAAAGAAUUAAGCAAUAUUUCUAGACAAACUUAAUUGAAUCCAGGAGGUAAUAACACUUGAAGUUCUUUGACUUGAAAAUCAAGUUGGGCAUUAGCAAUUGUUUGAAAUCACAAAGGACUAUGUUUUAAGUGGAGUGCAAUGGUGGCGUUUUUAAAUACAUGCAUGUAAGUAGCUGGUAUAGACGUUGCUUCAUAUUUUUCAGGUGAUUAGAUUCUGUUGCUUCAACAAGUCUGAGGGAGGUGUGUUCAAGAAAACUGAUGCAGACUUCAUUACUGGAAGCAAGUGUUGAUCAACUGAUACAGCAGACAGACAACAUUUCACUUGCAGAAUUGCAGUACAACAAAGAAGCUACAUCUUUCUGGUUAUUUUCAACAUUUCUUUUCUAAACAGAUGACUGGCAGAUGAUUUCUGCCUACUCUAUCUACAUCAAGCAGAGAAGUGUGGACACUGUUGAGAAUCCGCUGAUCUAAGCUCUGCAGAGCUCAUGCAGCUCUAUACAUUUAAUACAUUACCUGAUGCUGUCAGUGUAAUGACUCCCAUCACAUUUGCUCACCACUGGCUUGAUCACUAGCUUUAGCCUCAGGAAAAUUUAUUUUGGGAUUCCUUUUCUCUUCACUGCCAAUGGCCGUGACUGUAAUUGCUACUGGUGUCUGGAGAAGCACAAGGAAAUGCCACCUGUAAAGAUCUAUGGAGGUCAUAUAAUAUAAUCCUAAAAGCCAUCUAAGGAGUAGAGGACAGCAGCUAUACUGUCCAGAGGGCAGUACUGAUAUCUGGUUUGUAUAUUAAGCUAGAAGAUUCUUCCUGGAAAAGAAUUGUAUAAGGAGAAAGGGAACUGAAAUAUAGCCAUGGAGCAAAGUCUGAACAAAUCUAAUGAGAACUGCAAUUGCAUCCUUGGUGAGCAAGGUAAUUAUUAUCCUAAGCAGAUAUUCUGUCAGGUACAUUUUCACCUGAGUGGUCCUUAGUAACCUUAGGAACUGGAGUUGAUACAAGAGUCCGUGCUUUCUGAGAAACCAGUACUUCCAGCAGCAAUCUAAGUGGUCAGAGCUGAGCUUGCGCCCUGCUGCCCACUUGAGACCUGGUAGCACACUGUGGCAAGGUUGCAGGCUAUCAAAAACUUGAGAUAUUUCUGCUGCAUUUUUUUAAAAAGCUCACAGAAUAAACUUAGAUAAAAAAAUCCAGUUAAGAAGAAAUGAUGAAUUAUACACAAAAGAUAAGGAAAAGUAAGCCAUUAUUGCACUGACUUUUAAAAGUGUGGAAGGUAGAGAUCUGCCUUCUCUAGGAAUCAGAUUACUGAGGCACUAAGAUGAGGAAUUAAGAACAGAAUAGAUAACAGUUGAAGAGGUUAUUAAAAGAUUACAGAGCCUAGAAACUGGUAUAAUAGAACAAUGUCUACCCAACUUGUAUAUCAGAUUUCUAAAGCAAUCUAGGAGGACAUGCAAGAAGUCUUUCUUGAAUGCACACAGUAUUGCAUUAUUUGACAAAAAUAUGAUUCUGAAAAAUGAUGAAUUUCACUGAGUAAAAGUUUGCCUCUGGAGAUUAAAACUCCUAAAUAUGUUUUUAGGUUUAUGAAUGAGAGAAUCAGGUAUUCAAGUAUGCUUGAACUAGUAUGUUUGUUCAAGAAAACAAGCAUACUUACAAUACACAGUGGAUAUAGGUGAGAUUUAGUUGUUCAUAUAUGUAUGUACACAUGCACACACACACAUAUAAAUGUAUACAAUUUUUGUAGCUUUCAAAAAUAGUAAAAAAAAACCUUUCUGCAAAGCUUAAUUUAAAAAGCCAAUAUUUCAAUUUUAUUAUGAGCCUUGCAAUACAUAGCAGGUACCAAAAUCAAAAUCUUAUCUAAAAUAUUAACUGAAAUAUAUAUAUAUACAUACAUAUGUACAUAUAUAUAUGUAUAUAUAUAAACUCUCACAAAAAGUUGAAAGCAAGAAACAAAUGCAGAGUAAAGGCUCUGAAUGUCAAACAGAUCCUCCUUAAAUAAAAUAUCUCAUCAGUUCAGUUCUAAUAUGAUUAUUUUUGGAAGGCUUACCCUACUUUUUUUUUUAUUAUUAUUAACUGUUAGGAUUAGUUAUAGCACAAUCUAUUCACCCAAGGCCAUUUUGCUGACAGAAAAUGCAAAUGAGAUUAAAGUGCUUUUUUGUGUGCCUGUCUGUGACCCACCGAGGACUUGACAGUUCAGUGACUGUUUUGUUCCUGCUCCUGUAGAUGGGUUACAGGUACUUGCUUCUCCUAAUGAAGAGGGAAUGCAAGAAGAUGGAGGUGAAAGAUCAGCAUGCCCAAGUACAGUAUCUACUGUUACACUGAUAAUAGCCACAGACAAUACUUUUCAACAUUCAAUACAUUCCCUCUUGGUAUUAGUUGAAAUAUAGUCAUUAAAGCAAAAUAUUUGUAUUUUAGCCUUACAGUUUAUGGCAUUUAUUUGCCUAGUGAAUAUUCUGAUUUUGUUGCAAUUAUAGCAUUUACAACCUGCUUUUCAGAAGAAGAAAGGAUUUCAAAUGUUUCUGAUAAUAAACAGAUUUGGAGCAUCAGCAUUUUUAGCUGGGCCUAUAUUACAGAGCUUGCAAUAGGGAUGCAACUACUCUCUCCUGCUAAUACUAUUUUGAAACACAUCUACUGUCAUUCUUUCUAAGUAACUAUUGUCAACUGUCAAACUCACCUGAACUGUAGUUCAUAGAAUCACAGAAUCAUAGAAUCAUAGAAUGGCCCAGGUAGAAAAGGACCAUACUGAUCAUCUAGUUUCAACCCCACUGCUGUGUGCAGAGUCACCAACCACUAGACCAGGCUGCCCAGAGCUACAUCCAGCCUGGCCCUAAAUGCCUCCGGGGAUGGGGCAUCCACAACAUCUCUGGGCAACCUGUUCCAGUGUGUCACCACCCUCUGUGUGAAAAUCUUCCUCCUAAUAUCUAACCUAAACCUCUCCUGUCUCAGUUUAAGACCAUGCCCCCUUGUCCUAUCACUAUCCACCCUCGUAAACAGCCAUUCCCCCUCCUGUUUAUACACUCCCUUCAAGUACUGGAAGGCCACUCUUAGGUUUCCCCUGAGCCUUCUCCUCUCCAAGCUAAACAAGCCCAGUUCCCUCAACCUUUCUUCACAGGAGAGGUGCUCUAGCCCUCUGAUCAUCAUAAUGGUCCUCCUCUUAACUGUGUACGUGAACUUCAGAGAGGAAAUAUGCAGAGAUAAAAGCAAGUGAGUAAAGGUGGAGAGCAAAGGGCAAUAGAGAGAAAUAGUAUCAGAGGGGGAUAAUCAUAAUAAGACUUAAUUAUGGACAGUUUGUCAGUAAUUAUGGUUUCUUAAAAUGAAAUUCACAUUUUGGACUGUACUUCUAGG